UACGGAGGAUCCGAGCGUUAUCCGGAUUUAUUGGGUUUAAAGGGUGCGUAGGAGGGCGGAUAAGUCAGUGGUGAAAUCUUCGAGCUUAACUCGGAAACUGCCGUUGAUACUAUUUGUCUUGAAUAUCGUGGAGGUGAGCGGAAUAUGUCAUGUAGCGGUGAAAUGCUUAGAUAUGACAUAGAACACCAAUUGCGAAGGCAGCUCGCUACACGAAUAUUGACUCUGAGGCACGAAAGCGUGGGGAUCAAACAGG
rnacentral:rRNA from 1 species